rnacentral:rRNA from 1 species
AUGGAGGACGCGCGCACGAGCUCCCUUGCAGUUGUCUGUGGUGUCGUCGUCGGGCUUGGUUCGUGGCCGACGCCAGCCGGAGCUCGCAGUCGAGCGCGUGUGCGGGUACGGGAACUCGGCUCCAACCAAAUCAACGGCGACGGCCAUGGGCGGGAGCUCGGCUCCGGCCAAAUCGACGACCACGACCAUGGGCGGGAGCUCGGCUCCGGCCAAAUCGACGACCACGACCAAGGGCGGGAGCUCGGCUCCGACCAAAUCGAUGACCACGGCCACGGGCGGGAGCUCGGCUCCGACCGAAUCGACGGCUACGGCCAUGGGCGGGAGCUUGGAUCCUACCAAAUCAAUGGCUACGGCCUAGGACGCCGCCGCCCCGCACCCUGUGCUGCGACUGGCCCUCUUCCCACCCCGAGACGCGGCGCCGUCGCCGUCCCUUGCGCCACCGGCAGUGUUGUUUCUCCUCCGGUCGCCGCUGCACAACAGGUGAGCCACAGACCACGCCCUCCUCCGGCUAACGUCCGUCCCCUUGCCCCCAUUUGCAAAUGCCACGUGGCCCCGGCAGGUGGGCCUAACCGGUCAGUUUUGCUGUUAGAGGCAGCUCAAUUUCGAAUCAGGACAAUGUGUUAUUCACUUGCCGCGGAAAUGGUGGUUUUUUGA